AUCUCUGUAGAGUCUGCAUAUCAAUAAGCGGAGGAAAAGAAACUAACUAGGAUUCCCUCAGUAACGGCGAGUGAAGCGGGAAGAGCUCAAAUUUGAAAUCUUCAAGGUUUUACCUUGACGAAUUGUAGUUUAAAGAAGUGUUUUCUGUUGGAGUUUUGGUAAAAGUUCUUUGGAAUAGGACAUCAUAGAGGGUGAGAAUCCCGUAUUUGACCAUUAUUUCCAGCUUUGUGAUACACUUUCAAAGAGUCGGAUUGUUUGGGAAUGCAGUCCAAAAUGGGUGGUAAAUUUCAUCUAAAGCUAAAUAUUGGCGAGAGACCGAUAGCGAACAAGUACCGUGAGGGAAAGAUGAAAAGAACUUUGAAAAGAGAGUUAAACAGUACGUGAAAUUGUCAAAAGGGAAGCGUUUGACACCAGUGUUGUUUUCUCGAAAAUCAAUUAAAAAAGGCAGGAUUUUGUGUUGUAUUGACUUUAUCAGCUUUCUGCACUCUUUUCUUGUCUUUUUUAAUGCACUUUUCGUUUAACAAGUCAACAUCAAUUUCUUUUGCUGUAAAAGGGUCAUUGGAAGGUGGCUUUCUUUUCGGAGAAAGUGUUUAUAGCCUUUGGCCUCUGCAAUCGGAGAGAUUGAGGUCUGCAGCGUAGAUCCUUCGGGGUUAGAUACAUUUGUGCUAAGUUAUAGCCUUUCAUAGACAACUUGUUGACUAUGAUCAGUCAUGUAGCUUACUCGCUUAUGCUAUUUUACCUACGCUUAGGAUGUUGAAGUCAUCGUAUCGCGC
rnacentral:rRNA from 1 species